rnacentral:rRNA from 1 species
GGCGUGCCUAACACAUGCAAGUUGAGCGAUUUACUUCGGUAAAGAGCGGCGGACGGGUGAGUAACGCGUGGGUAACCUACCCUGUACACACGGAUAACAUACCGAAAGGUAUGCUAAUACGGGAUAAUAUAUUUGAGAGGCAUCUCUUAAAUAUCAAAGGUGAGCCAGUACAGGAUGGACCCGCGUCUGAUUAGCUAGUUGGUAGGGUAACGGCUUACCAAGGCGACGAUCAGUAGCCGACCUG